rnacentral:lncRNA from 1 species
CACAGAGGCUGUAGAAUGUGCACGGGGGCUUGGUCUCUCUUGCUGCCCUAGAGACCAGCUGCCCCACGAAGGAACCAGAGCCAACCUGCUGCUUCCUGGAGGAAGACAGUCCCUCUGUCCCUCUGUCUCUGCCAACCAGUUAACCUGCUGCUUCCUGGAGGAAGACGUCACUCUGUCUCUGCCAACCCAGCUGACCGCAGACAUGCAGGUCUGCUCAGGAAAAGCUUUGGAUCACAAUUCCCAGUGCUGAAGAAAAGGCCAAACUCUGGAAAAAAUUUUGAAUAUUUUGAGCCAAAUGUGAGGACCACAACCUGUGAGAACGGAAAAUAAAUCCUGGGACCCCAGACUCACUAAGCCAAAGGGAAAAGCCAAGCUGGGAACUGGCUUAUGCAAACCUGCUUCCCAUCUGGUUCCUAAAUAAGAUAGCUAUUACACAAAG